ensembl:piRNA 21ur-5694 ncRNA
UUGAUAGACUAGAACAAAUCA